rnacentral:lncRNA from 1 species
GUUUGUCUGGUACCCUGACAUACACAAAGCCUGACCUUUGGCCCGCUUUCUCACCAAUAAACUCCAGCCCCAUUAGGGUGCCCGCCUUGCCUCAGUCCCGCCAUGAGCUUCCUCCAGGCCUCAGGAGGUUAAGGGGGAUCAAGCUAGGAACAGGGUUCUGAGUCUGACAAAGUCGACGCCUCUGGCAGCUAACAGUGAGCCUCAGAUGCCUUAGGCAGCUGCAGGCCUGAGUCACUCUUGCAACCCAAAGCGGUGGACUGCAGGUGGACAAGAGUGUUCAAAAGGAACAUCAAGGUGCUGUGACCAGAAAGGAGAACAAGGCUGGGUGUGCCCACCUGAGUGAUGCCCACAGUUGUCUGUCCCCGGGGAGGACGUGGAGAGGCACAGACAAGAAGAGAUUGGUCCAGACUCUUUUGACUACACCAGUCGGUCUCUAGUCACGUUGUAUAUCUUAGUUGCAGGUCCUUCUAGUUGUAGGAUGUGGGACGCCGCCUCAACGUGGCCUGAUGAGUGGUGCCAUGUCCACACCCAGGAUCCGAACCCUGGGCUACUGCAGCGGAGCGUGUGAACUUAACCACUCGGCCACGGAGACGGCCCCAGUUUUACUGUACUUUUAAACAUCUUCCAAGACAAAGCUGGGACUGCCUGAGCACAGGGCUGGCACAUCUGGGAACCGCAAGAGACCAUUCAGUGUGGAGUUCAGAGGUCUCCUGGGCAUCUCUGGCUGGUGAGCUCAUCAUCUUCUCUCCCCAGCAUUUUCGUCUCACUAAUUGGCCCCAACAUCCAUCUGAUCACCUGGAGCAGAAGCAUCCACGAGACCGACAAGUGCUUGUGGAGCACCCAUUUCUAGGUAUCAGGGAUCCAGUAGAGAACAAGGCAGAACAAGAGCUUGUCCUCGUGGGACUCACAUUCCAGGAGGAGAAACACAACUUCUGCUUAUUCUGCCUCCUAGAUGUGCUUCAUAGUAAUUCUCUUCUUUCCAUUUCUAAUGCCAUUAUCAGAGUUCUGCUUUCCUGAUCUGGACUAUUGUAAUCCUUCCUAGCUGGUCUUUGGGCUCCUCUUCCAAUCUAUCCUCCAUACAGCUCUAAAAUGAUCUUCCUGGUAUUCAAAUCUGAUGAUAUCACAGCCCAGUUUAAGAUGGCCAAUGCCUCGCUAUUUACCUACAGAACCAAGUGUAAAUUCUCAAUCCUUUACAAUGAUCAGAGAUGGUGAAAACAGGUGGCCCAGGCCUGCAUCUUCCAACAGACAGUUUUUGUUUGGUGUGCAUAAUGUUGGCCUAGAAGAUAUUUAAGAUAUGAAUCAGUUCCCAAUAUUUACAUAUUGGAAGACGUUACCCAAAAGUUUGGAUUUCCAGCUUCGUUUGAAAAAAUUCUAAGAUCUAGCAAAAUUGGGCCAGCAUUCCUGCAUGGUAACAAUUCGCUGGAGCUGAUUAGCCUUGUCCACUGACACUGUGCUGGAUAUAGAUGUUAUUUACCACUUUACACCUGGUGCCCUUUGUUCAUUUAUGCUGCCCGUCUGGAUCCUUGUAGGUAUUGGAGUUGGUGACCCUAACCUAACCUAACCUAAUUUCAACUUACUUUUUCAGCAUCAUCUCACCCAGUUCACUGUCUAGGUCCUGUUCUCCGUGAACCACUGUGUUCUUCUGCGCCUGAAUGCCUUUACUUAUGCUGUUCCCUCGGCCCCUUCUUCCUCGGCACUCGUGAAUAACUCAGCUUCAAGGCUCACCUCUCCCCUGGAAGACUAUCGUCCCCCGUCUUCUGUACAUCUCCCUCCCAGGGCCCUGUGUUAAUUUCUCCGACUGUAGUACAAGGAUUUGUUUGACUUCCCUCCUAGACUUAAGAAGUUCUUAGGAUCACAGGCCGAGGAAUGUAGCAGCCUCUGGAAGCUGGACAAAGCAAGGAGCUAUAUUCUCUUCUAGAACCUUCAAUAGUACAGUUCUGCUGACCCAUUUUGGAUUUCUAACCUCCAGAACUGGUCAUAGUAGAGGGAGCAGUCUGAGUGACCACAUGGGGACAUGUCAACAUCCACGCUUCCUUAGUUUCUGAGCUUUCAGAAGUGACCAGGUUUGUUUGCUGACCCAUCACUCCUUCCCAGGAUGCACUGCAAGAGAAACAAAAGAAAGGUCCUGUGAAGUGUCAAGUUGCGACUUGCUCUUCGCCCAGAGAGAACCUUCUUCACCAACAAUUACCACAUCAUCGUAAACACUCGGGAGAGACAUGAUGUAAAAAUGAAAUUACUGAAAACAUUUUUGGACUAACACUUGGCUUUAUAUAAACUCACAGACAAUCCUAUAAGGCACUCAAGCAGAUUAUGGGUUUGAGCAAAGCUGGAAAAUUGCUGCCAUUAUAUUGUUAUUAUUAACACCUUGUAAUUAGCCCUAAGGAAUCCCAAAGUUCUCUUUCUUGAUUUGGCUUUAAUGAAGGAAAAUUGCUACCUUUGCAAGUUGGAUGGCGCCCGUUCUGAUUAACCUUAAGUAUAUAGGACUAUUAUUUUGAAAAUGUUUGCUGUCAUGUGAAUAUUAGCAUUACAUACAACUGGGAAGGGGCUGGGGCUGGGAAGGUAGAGAGGAGGAGAUCCUCUUUUCCCUUCUCCUUCUUUCCGCCCCCCCACCCCCCCACCCCCAAAGGAAGGUGAAUCAUGGCCUUACUUCAGCUGUGGUCCUUGCUUGGAAAAUCAAGAAUGAAAGCCCUGUGAAGGCCAUGACCGCAAUUGCUUGGUCUUUGCCAAGCUCCACUGGCAAGGCUGUGGGCUGCCGGCUUCUCAACCUGUUGAUUGCACAGGCUGGCGGGGUAAUUGUACACGGUGGUUUUACCAUUACCUGGAGAGGGACCCUAUGGGGAUGAGAUCAUACGGGAGUUAGCACCUAGUGCCAUAAAGCAGGUUUUAUUUGCAUGUCCCAGAACUCUCCAGAGGCCCCUUCUGCAGCCUUCACAGGCACCGUGUCUCCAAUGAAACGCCGCCAACGUUAAUAAAAGAUCCCUCUAUAUAUCCCUCAACUCCCCUCCCACAGGCAAGUAAGUGCACUGUUUUCAUUACCUUCUCUGGGAAAACCAUACAUUAAAGAGAAGUCGUUUGAUCUUAUCUAUAAUUAAUUUGUAUUUUGAUAAUAUAGAGAAGGGAUUUUUACAUGUGAUGACUUACCUGUUCAUUAUUUUUCUCUUUUGAACUCCUGUAACCGCUUAAUAACUCAAGCUGCAGCAUGGCGGGUUAUGACGGUCUCCCCGCCCACCUUUCCGGAAGGGGAAGGUGUUGCCUCUCACACAGAGACAAAUUGC